GUGGGGAAUCUUGCGCAAUGGGCGAAAGCCUGACGCAGCCAUGCCGCGUGGAUGAUGAAGGUCUUAGGAUUGUAAAAUCCUUUCACCGGUGAAGAUAAUGACUGUAGCCGGAGAAGAAGCCCCGGCUAACUUCGUGCCAGCAGCCGCGGUAAUACAGAGGUCUCAAGCGUUGUUCGGAAUUAUUGGGCGUAAAGGGCGCGUAGGCGGGAAGGUGUGUCGACCUGUAAAUCUAUCGUUUCAAGCGGUAGGCUUGGGUUGAAACUGCCUUUCUAGAGGAUUUCAGGGGAGUUUGGAAUUUACGGUGUAGCAGUGAAAUGCGUGGAUAUCGUAAGGAAGGCUUGUGGCGAAGGCGAAACUCUGGGGAAUACCUGACGCUGAGGCGCGAAGGCUAGGUUAGCAAACGGGAUUAGAUACCCUAGUAGUCC
rnacentral:rRNA from 1 species